GGCGGGGGGGGGAGUGCUCUGCAACAAAGAUCUGCUUAAGAAAAUGGAGAUUUUUACAGCCCAGUUCAGCUUGGAACUUUCGGGAAGCGCAUCUAACCUCUUACCGUAUCUCUCUUUGGGUUGCAUUGGGUGGGAAACUGGGUUUUCUGAGCCUCCAGGAGAGCCUAGUGCUAAUAUAUUUGGAAGGACAUUUCAGACGAGCAUAGUCAUUUAAUUAUUAGUAAGCACAGAGUUGGCUUCCCGAGAAUUUAUCCCUAAAGCCAUGUGCUACCGAUGCAUAAAUUUCCUCGAGCACGUUCUACCCAGGUUGGUGGGAACAUUUUGGUGAGCUGGAGAGUAUCCCUGAUUUUAAGAACUUUGACAAGAUCCCACUGUUGACAUCCAGGCUCACUGCGAUUAACGCACGGGGCAGUGGCAGGCCUGUCUCGAUAUGUUGUUAUCCCAGAGUCUCAGCCCCUGUGAAUAAAGUUGUCUUUUCAUUAACCUC